UGUAUAUGUAUAUAUACACAUAUGUACAUAUGCGCCUGCGUACUUUGACCGGAACCGAAAGCUCCGGCAAUGGCGUCCGAGCUACAUUGUUGUCAGUCUAGGAAUGACUUGUAACAGUAAUGAAGCCAUGGAAUAUUUCACUCUACUCACUAUUUUCAACUGUACACGGGAUUAAAAAAAAAAGUGAAAGAUAAUUAUACACCUCAGAAAACGUAAAUUUUAUUUUUUAUUUAUUUUCUUUCAUUCUUAUAUAUAUUUUUUUUGUUAUUUUGAAAUAUUUUCCUACAGAAAAUAUAUAUGUAUAGAGAAAGAAGAAAAUAUUUAAUGAACAAUUAAGGAUUGUUUAAGAAAUUAUUGUUCUCAUGUAAAUUUUUAUUUUAUUAUCAUUGAUCGUUUUUUUUUUUUAACAAAAGCGAAAUAAUAUCAAUUUUGUUUUUAUGACUAUUUCUAGAUUAAUUGCAUGUGUUUACAUUUUUACUCUACUUCUAAAACAUCUAAAAUGUUUAUUCUUUUAACACACCUUCCUUUCUCCUCUUCUCUCCGUUUUGUGUUUCACUUUCGUUACAGAAUUGCACUUAAUUUCUCCUACUUUUUGGACUUGUAUUUCUGUAUUUGAUUUAAUUUCCAAAAAUAUUUUUCGGUUUUAAUUACUAAACCAUAAUGCAACCAAUAUGCCGUUUUAAGUACAAGUUUUAUUGAACGUUAAACAUUUAAUAUUUCUGAUAAUUUUUUUUUCAACAAAUUUUAUUGUAAAAAAAAAAAAUACUCGCAGAAAAAAACAUAAUCAACAAUGCAAAAUAUUUUCACUCAUUCGAGUGCGUCAAGUCUACUUUAAAAAAUUUUUUGUCAAAAUCUAAAAUUUGUAUCAUAAUUGUUAAAUAGAUAUCCAUCAAGAAAAGCUCAUUUUCAUAUGUAAAACACAAGUGCAUAAGAUAUCUUGUACUUUGUUUUCGUUUUAGGUUUUGCGACUAAAUCUGCCAUUUUCUCAUUCUUCAAUGCAUUCCUUGUUUGUUUUCAUUGUUUCCCUCUCUCCACUUUCGACUACUUUUUCUAUCUCUGUCUCUCCUUUCUCUAUCAACAUUGUCUGAUCGAUCAAGGCUGACCUGAGAUUACACAACAUGACAUGUACAAUUUCUAGAUGCACACACACACACACGGCUUCCUCUACAAAAAAGCUCCAGUUGCCCUUUGACAUCUCAUCCCCUUGACAUGUAAAGGCGGUUGCUUGUAAGCAAACCAAUGUUACAUUUGUUUAUACGUUUUUAUAUAUUCUUUGUUGGUAUCACAACCUCCGCUGUAACGUGUAUAUACAAUUAUUUGAUAUCAGUAAUUUCUUCUUACUCUCUUUUGUGUUCAAAUUCCACUAGAAUCGAUGUUAUUUCAAAGGGUGAAAGCAGUAAUGAAGUCGAUUGAGUCAACUUUGUCCACCACUACCCUAUAAAGUUGUAGUUUUGUGUCAAUACAUCAAACAUUGUAUUAUAUGGAAGAUUUUUUUUCUUCCUUAUUUCGUUCCUCACUGAACAUCCCUGGACGAUUCCAGUUGCAUAUUGAUAUUUCUGGGAAGAGGUUGCUGUUUCUGGAGAGAAGGAUGUAUGAGAGGUACCCCACGAUCCUUUCUUACGGCGCAACGUAGCCAAUUCAGAGAGAAAGCUAAAAAAAAGAAUCAACCCUCGUACUUGAUUGGGGUUUUAUUUAUCAACCCCAAAAGAAUGGAAGACAAAUUUGACUUCUAGGGGAUUUGAAUUCACAGCUCGGAGACCGGUAACAAAUACCGCAAGACAUUUUAUUCGAUACUCUAAUAAUAUUUGCCAAUUCGCCACCCUAGAUAUAUGUCUAAAACAUUGUUACAAGGCCACAAAUUUGCAAGAAAGGUGAUAAUUGACUGAAUUUCAUGCCCUCAGACAAAUAUAUUAGUGUUACUUAUUGAUCGACCUCAGAAAGCUGAAAGCAAUGUCAAUUUUAGCAUGCAUGGCUCGAAUAUGAAACGUAAACAGACGUUAUGGCCUUGCACUUUACUGUAUCAACUACUAUUAGAAUUUUGGGCUCAUAAUCUAGUAUUGUUUGAUCUCAAUAUAAACAGAUUUUGACACAGUCUUAACAGUAGUGGCAGCCGGUUAAUAUCUAGUGGCAACCGUUUUCCUAAAUACGUGAAUUUUUUGAAAAAAACCCCAAACAAACUGGAAGUCAAAUCUCAGUAACCAAAAUAUCUUUUUGAAUAAACAUAAAGCCUUAGGUAUUUAGAGGAAGAGGUUUGAACAAUUGUCAAACGAUCAUCCCUUUAUGGGACGGGCACUUUUGAAAGUACGUCAAGUGGAAUGGUAGGAAAUGAUUCGAAACCGGGUCGCAUACUCGGCGCACAGGGUUGACUCACUGCUAAUUUACCUUUUCACCCUACAGCACUUGCCUUAUUUCUGUGUUAGCAAUAUUGACAGAAACUGAGUCAAUAAUAUAGCUAGGAGUGGUACUAUGUAUUUCACCAACCAAACAUUCUUUAGAGAAACCUUAUCUUCUCGAAUGUUACACGUCAGUUUUUCUAUUAAUCAAUUGAAAUGUGGACAUAUUUAUAAACAACUUUAUCUACACACAUUUUCAAUCUUAAACUGAUCAGCUUAGGACAGAAGCGUUAUUUCUCAUUGCACAUUGCUUUAGAUAAAAGAAAAACUUCUCGCAAGGACUGACGUUUGCUGAUAAGUACAACACAGUUGUUACCUGCAGGUUUUAAAAGAGCCAUGCUGUUAUUCUCAUUAUGAUAUUACCUAUCUGAACGUAAGAUGAUCUUCAGGAUUCAUGUGGAGGGUGAAAAUGGAAGGUAACCCCCAAAUUAGCUAUAAAUAAAUGUAAGGCUCUGUUUGAAUUCUUCAAAUAUUUCGGAGUAGGAGAUGUUAAAAAAUACUAUACCCCACGAUUAAUGCUAAUACCAAGAAUUAAAUUCGCAAUUUC
rnacentral:lncRNA from 1 species